AUUCCAUCUAUCUUCCAUUUCAAACUGUCUCUUUUUAUAGCCCAUCUUCUGAACAGGUACUUAUAUAAUUUGACGUCUGGACAAGAUACUAACAAACAAUAAUCAAUAUCAAUAUUUUCAUAGUAACGUGGAGAAAAUGGUGGCGUGGUCAAAAAGAUUGGAAACACUAUGUUAUGUCCACCUCUUGGGAACCCCUGAUGUGCAAUGGUUUAUGAAAGCCUAAGAAGUCCAGCAGUAAAUAAGACUGUUCAAUUUGACUAAACAUGUCUUCCUCAAACUUGUAUCAUGAUGGAAUUAUUUUGGGGGAUGCGUACUUACAUGCGAUAGAAUUUGCAUUCCUGUGGAACACACAUUGAUAUGUUGCUAUUACUCAACUUUAUUACUGUACACAAGGAAACUGAGAGCCAAACUGAGGCCCUUUAUUUUUAUUCCUUUCAAAUGUUAUAUUCUUUCUCAUGUUUGUGGAGGGGGGAAAACAGCUAUCUAUAGAGCAUUUAUGCUACCUUUGCCCCACUGAUAUUUCUUAUUGCAUUUUCAGCCAAAAUGACUGAGCAUGCUUUCAUCUGCCUUUAACAAAGAGAAAUAGCAAAAGUGUAGGCUUCUGUUUAGAGAUCGUUUAUACCCUAUUCCCUAAUUUUCCCCUCCAUAUACUUCCUCAAGACAUGUUAAUGCAAAUGUGUCUAGGAGAAAUGUGUACUCUUUAGUAAUAAGCUAGAGACUUAGUCUUUCAUCCACCUUUGAACAAGUAGUUACAUAGCCACAUUUACUAGUUCCAAGUCGUGCUAAUAUAUGAGGAAAUGACAAAGCAUUAGGUCACCAUGAAGUCAUAAAAUAUCUGAGGAGUUGAUCAAUAUUAAUUUAUGAAUGCACGUAUAAUGUGCAUAUCUCAUUUUUCAGCUGAUGACUUCUAUUACCCGGAAAGAGCCUCAUGGAAGAGAAUUAUAAAAGUUCUUUCAUGUCAGCCUUGAAAUCGAAGGCCGUAGAAAGCAUUCAUUGGAAGAAAGAGGUUACUUUUUAUUAUUGUGUAUGACCCAGAGCAAGUGUCUUCAGUGUCUUCAUUUCUUCUCUAAAGAACAACUCAUUGGAAAAUCACUUGGAGACCCUCACAUAACAGAUGAGAGCAAUGUACUAUCAAAAACCUG
rnacentral:lncRNA from 10 species